rnacentral:rRNA from 1 species
ACGUCAAGUCCUCAUGGCCCUUACGUGUUGGGCUACACACGUGCUACAAUGGUACUUACAGUGAGAUGCUAAGAUGCGAGUCUAAGCUAAUCUCUAAAAGGUACCUCAGUUCGGAUUGCACUCUGCAACUCGAGUGCAUGAAGCUGGAAUUACUAGUAAUCGUGGAUCAGCGUGCCACGGUGAAUGCGUUCCCGGGUCUU